rnacentral:rRNA from 1 species
CUGCCUGGGCGUCACGCAUCGCGUCGCCCCCCUCCCCCGCUCCCACGGAGCGGGAGGGGUGGGGCGGAGACUGGCCUCCCGUGCGCUCCCGUCGUGCGGCCGGCCC